GUAGGGAAUAUUGGGCAAUGGAAGGAAUUCUGACCCAGCCAUGCCGCGUGCAGGAAUACAGUCCUAUGGACUUUAAACUGCUUUUAUUAUAGAGUAACCUGGGGGACGUGUCCCCCACUGCAAGUAUAUAAUGAAUAAGCAUCGGCUAACUCCGUGCCAGCAGCCGCGGUAAUACGGGGGAUGCAAGCGUUAUCCGGAUUUAUUGGGUUUAAAGGGUGCGCAGGCUGAUCGGUAAGUCAUGGGUUAAAAGUCACUGCUUAACAGUGAUCUUGCCUAUGAUACUGCCGGACUAGAGAUUAAGAGGUGUAACUGGAAUGUGAUGUGUAGCGGUGAAAUGCUUAGAUAUGUCACAGAACGCCAAUCGUGAAGACAGGUUACAAACUUAAUACUGACGCUCAUGCACGAAAGCGUGGGGAUCAAACAGGAUUAGAUACCCUAGUAGUCC
rnacentral:rRNA from 1 species